rnacentral:rRNA from 1 species
UACGUAGGGUGCUAGCGUUGCUCGGAAUCACUGGGCGUAAAGCGCACGUAGGCGGGUUGCUAAGUCAGGGGUGAAAUCCUGGAGCUCAACUCCAGAACUGCCUUUGAUACUGGCGGCCUUGAGUCCGGGAGAGGUGAGUGGAACUGCGAGUGUAGAGGUGAAAUUCGUAGAUAUUCGCAAGAACACCAGUGGCGAAGGCGGCUCACUGGCCCGGUACUGACGCUGAGGUGCGAAAGCGUGGGGAGCAAACAGG